rnacentral:rRNA from 1 species
GGCCGCACAGCCUUCGUAGUGACCUGCGGAGGAUCAUUA